rnacentral:sRNA from 1 species
CACCCCACCCCCAGAAAGGUCUAGAAUCUUGCCAGGAACCAAAGAUUAUAACACAGCAUUGGAGCCAAAAAUUGCUUAUGCGAGAACUUGAUGCGAAUCAGAUGACCGCUUCUCUUUUGGUGGAACUUGGGAUGUCUUCGAGAUCCUGCCUAUGAGCCGAACAAGGGCAACAGCAACAGACACCCCAACGGGCCCAUGAAACUAAGCUCACUUCCGUUUUACGACAUUUCCGGACAGAGACUCAAGCCUUUCACUCCACCAUGGGUCCUAGAUCAGGACCUGUCUAUGCCAGGAAAGAGGAAAAUACCAUUGUGGCCCAGUCGGCCUGCAGGUCACGAGACAAAACAGACAACCAGCUGUGCCCCGGGUUCCAGGAACUACAGAAAAUCACAGACCUUGGAAUACGAAGACCACCAGCAACAGGACUGGCAAAGGACUAGGCUUCGGGUUGUGUUUUACCCCGGCCUCUGGUUAUGUGACUAGCUAAGAGGGAAACUAGGCACCAAGGCAAAGGUGAGGUGACCGGGCAAGUCUAAAGUUGUACUGAGUAGAGGCAAAGACUGCACAAGAAUGAAAGAAAAAGACCAAGUAAUGAGGGGCAUGAGCUAAUGUCCAACCCUGACUGAACAAAUUAUUUUCCCACACAUGUAUUCCGAAGACUGAAGAAACAGUAUUACAUACACUCUUUUGAGCGCUUUCUGACCAACAUUUUUCUAUUAAAGGUUAUGCUUCUCGGGAGCCAGUAUCAAAGCUUCUUGUGGCUUGUCAGUAAAUUUAAGAGGCCAAAUCUGUGUAAAUUUAAAUUACAUAAAACCUCUCCCUCAAUUGCCUGGUCUCAGAAUAGCCCCUUUCACUGGGCAUUAUCAUCAGGGAAUAUAAACGCCUUUAUCAUAGGAGCCCAGGCUUUUGAAAUCUUGGCAUAAUCGAAUUUCCUCCUCCCAAGGCAUAUCAAACAACAUUGCAGAAUGGAGUCUAAUUUGCUUUUUAACCAAAAGGUUCUUUCCUCUGCUUAUUUGAAGACUAUUUCUAUAUAACAAAUGCAGUGUUCUCUAUGACCACCCCCCUGCCAGAUGGCAGUGCCUGGAAGCCUACACGGUCACCCUAAGGGCAAAGAUUGACGGAAUUGUGAGGGAAAAAAACAGCAGGACACUCUGUGCAUCGGGGAGACAGUGGGGACCGCAUGAGCAGACACCUGAAAGCAUCAAAAGGUGGGCAUAUACUUAACUAACGAAGUCCUGAACAUGGGGGCAAGCGUCGCCCGCCCGUGAAUUGGCCUUCUCUGUCUGUCAGCUGGUGUGAAAACCUGGGAAUCUUUUGUUGACAGUGUCUGUAAGCUACCCUGAACCCCAAGCAGAUGAUUCAAGGCUGAGAAUACAUUCUGAUGCCGACACAGACAAUGGAACAGACAGACAAGGUCAGACGCAGGAAAUGUGGUACUUGGAGCACCGUUAGCCCGGACUAGCAUGAGCCUCUGGGGAUUCUCUAUGGAAGAGGCAGCUAACGAGUCACUCGCUGCACCCUGCUGCCAUUGUCCUUUAAGUUGCUGGAUACUGUUGUUGACAAGGUAAUAACAAGAGAAAGAGGGUUAAGCAGAAUGACAGAGAGGUGUGGACUUCGAGAUUACAAGGCGUCGUCAAGUUGAGGUACAGAGCAAAUCACUAGCGAAGGGCGAGAGACCCUGGGUAGCUUUCUGCUACCACAUGCCUCCCCUGGGGCGUCCGCUGCUCUCUCCUCUCCUUGGCAGACCUUGGGGGUUCAUUUAUCUAGAGCCUCUAUUACCACUAGACAAGCUUGGUGGUCUGACCUUUCACCACAAACCCCAAAUGGGAAAGGGAGCUCUGGGCAUUUUAAAGAGCAAACUGCACUUGCUGUUGUAGCAGACUGAAAAGACAUCGCAUGACCGGAAUGCGUUAGGAUGCAUCCACCUAUGGGGGCCUGCUUUCUAAGCUGCCCAAAACAAAAGUAGGGGUCCACUCUUGCUGGCUGCAGACAUAACACACCACGGUGUGUGGUGUGUCCCAGGUCUGAAGCUAAUUUUGCUGUUUCAUUUCUGUAUUUCUGUAAUUCUUUUUUCUUUCUUUCUUUUUUCCCCAUUUACCGAGUACAACAAUUUGCUAUUGAUUUCUUCUAACCCAGGUCUUCGGACGCCCUGGGUGGUUUCUGAGAACAGGUUACAAAUCCAGACACCCCUCUUCUGCCUGUUAAGAAACUGGACUGUCCUCCAUUAACCACAAGGCCCGCGGUUACCAGGACUUCUCAGAGUCAUUCAUUAAAAUCUUCAUAUUGAGACGUCUCCUGCAGGACCAAACUCACAGAAGCAUCCAACAUGGCUGCCGUGACUAGGAUGGAGGCCUCUCCGGAGACAGAAUAAACACAUUGAUGGGAGUCACAGCUCCGUGUUCUUGUGUCUGCAAAGAGCUAAUCAAAGGCCCGCCCCUUUCUACGAUACCUCCUCGGCACAGAGCAUGGCCAUUUGUUUGUGGACAGAACGUUGUUCUCCAAUGCCCUACCUAUAAAUAUGUAAAGGCAAGAGACAAGACCAUUACUUUAGGGCACUGCUGUGCACUGCUGUUGGACAUCAUUAUGAAGGAAAGACUAUAAGCCCCAAGCAGAUAAAAUGCACAAAAGCCAGAGAGUCUACCAACAAGACACAAGCAUUUAGUGUUAUCCUGAAUUAGCCUCGUUUAUUUAUCGUCGUUCAUUUGAAACCAUGAAGCCCUUAUGCCUUGUAAAUCAAUACGCUAAAUGCUGUGGAAAUACAAAUUAAAAAUGAGUACUUGUCAAAUACGGACUACACUCAGCAGGUACCAGCGCCUCACUUUUAUCCUUUUAAACCAUGAGAGGUGAAAAUUAAAUCCUACUGAAUUACAUCAAUUUUCCACCUGAAAAUAAAAGCACGGUCCCCGAUUCCCUGAAGGACAAAUGAAUUACACACAUUCGAAAUCAAGGCCAGCAAUUAACAUCUUAAUCAUGGGUCCUUGAUAGCCUACCCACGAUUCUAAAAGUCUGGAAAACUGUAAAUAUUUAUAUACAUAGAUGCAGUAGUUAGAUUAAAGAUGUAUGAUAAACGGAUGAGUGUGUCACUGGAUGGAUGCAUGGAUGCAUGGAUGGUAGCACAGUAAAGUGGCUGAGUUCAAGUUCAGAUUGAAAGCUAGAUUUCUAGGUCUCCUCUUAUUACCUCACUAGCCACAUGACCUUGGGCACGUUACUUUGUGCUUUCCUUUUCUCAGCAAAGCUUUCAUGGGAGAAUUAUUCCUAAAAUUAAGUGAACUGUCCAGUGCCAACAUAUUUAGCAUAAGGUUUGGUACACAGGAAACACAUUAUCAAGUACCUAUGGUUGUGACGAGUGGGGAUAAUUACUACAUUUUCCUGUAGUUGAUUGGAUUGAGCUUUUAGCAAGUCGUUUACAAAAAUUAAGCCAUUAAGCCUCUCUCUGGCCCUGGGAAUAUGGAUCAGUCAAUAAUUUACUUUUCCGGCACAUGUAAGGACCUGAGUUCAUAUCUCCCAAAAACAUAUAAGAAAGUAGAACACAGUAGUACACAGUUGUAGUCCUAGCACCAGAAGGUCAAGAGCAGGAGGAUCACUCUGAACCUUCCUGGCCAGCUGAAUUGCUGUUCCAAGUUCAGCCAAAGAUUCUGUUUCAAUAAAAUAAGGUAGAAAGCAAGAGAGGAAGACAUCCAACAUCAACCUCUGCUCUCCAUGGGUACCCACAUGCACACAUACACUUGCAUACACACACAUGCAUGUACUACAAACACAUACAAACAGAGAGAAUCAAGUCGGUCUCUUGGAAACUUAAGCAUUCUUCUGUAUUGGCAUCCCAACUAGUAAGAACUAAAGAUCAAUGGGAGUUUAGAGAAACACAAUUGAAAAGACCUUCAAAUUCCUUUUCAGAGGAUGUUGCAAAGGAUGCUGAUAAAUUAUUAAUAAGGACCUACUACAUAGGAAAAAGCAAAUAGGAAGGUAAUUUUUGUUUGACCCUCAUAAAACGAGCAAGCAUGGACUUUGUGAGAUAUUAAAAUACAAUGCCUCCACUCAUUAAGUGGGUAGGAUAAUGGAAUAACU